UAUCUGAAGAUCUUUUCUCUUCAGAUCUGUUCUCUAUUUUCUAAUCGGACGGAUUGGUCUGAGUUCUCUCUCGUUUCAUUGGUCUGAGUGCUCUCUCGUUCAAGAGAUUAUGGAUAAGCAGGUACUGCAGCAACAACUUGUUUCUAAAAACGCAAUGCUAGAGCAGCAACUUGUUUUUGCUAACGCAUUGAAAGAGCAGCAACAUGUAUUUGAGAACACAAUACAAGAGCAGGCAUAUUUUCUGGACCAAAUCAGACAAGAUGUCGAGUUGCAAGCAAAGGAUCUAGUGUGGAUGCUUGGCUGAAUAGGUUUUCUUUCCCUAGCACUUCCGUGGACGCAUACUGUAAUGGCGUGAUUAUGUUGAAUUUCAUAGGAGAACUAUGACCCGUCAAAUUUGUUUUGGUUGGGGUGGGUGAUGUUGCUUAUUAGAAGCAUAGAAUGUCUAUUUGUUGUGUUUUUGGUUUUGUCAUGAUUGGAUAUCUCGUCCUUUGAUGUCCGGUGUGACAAAGUGGGUUCCUUGUUGGAAGGACUCAGCCACUCUUCCAACGUGGAUUCAAAAUUCGGAUGGCAGACAGCAGCCCACCCUUCCAGUAAGGCACCCCCCUUGUCACCGAACAAACAUCAAGGCACGAGAUAUCCGAUCAUGACAAAACGAAAAAGACGACAAAUGCACAUUCUCUGCUUUUAAAUACGCAGCAUCUCCCAACCAAAACAAAUUUGACAGGUCGCGGUUCUCUCAACCUCAGCAGCAUCUCCCAUCCCUGAUCCUUCUGAGCAGCUGUGGAACAAGGUUAAGGACUUUCGUGAUUUGCAAACAAUGUUGGAUUCUUUGUUUUUUGAAUUGCAGAGACAUAGUCAUCCCAAUUCCAUUGGUUGCUAGGCAGAGAAGGAUUGGUUCAUCUAUUGUUUUGUUAGUGUAGCGCUUUUGUCGUAUGAUGAUUAUGUGGACAGAAUUAAAGGCCAUCCGUUUUUUAUGGAUGCUGUGGACAUGAUGACGUAUGUUGAAGAUCUUCACAAUUGCAUACAUCGACGUACGGUUCGUUUCAAAAAAAUUGGAGUUGGUGUUGAGUUCUCCUCAUUUUUAUAGCUUGUUGAAUUGGAAUGAAAAUAGCAAAAUGAAGAAGUGGAAGUAUUAUAUGAGGUGCAUUUAUGCUUACAAAAAUUCAGACUACAGUGGAGGUACUGCUAUUGAUUUGUUGAGGUUUAUUUGCAACACUACCGCCCUCCAACCACGAUUAAAUCACUGGAUGAAGACAUGAGGGAGUUCUUCCCAGAGUUUUUGGAUUGUAUUCACGCUAUGAUGGUUUAUUCGCAACUUGAAUCAACACUAUUACUCUCCGAUCAAGAUCGAACAACUAGAUGAAGACACGAGGAAAUUCUUCCCUGAAUUUUUGGAGUUUAUUCACGAUAUGAAUGUUUAGAGAGGCUGCUGUGGAGAGUAUACUUGAGGCUGUCUGUGGUUCGGGGGUUUGGAGCGGCUGCAGUGGAGAGAAUAUGAAGAAUAAUGAACUUGUGCAUUUGCGUGGCAAGUAUGAAAACCGUUUCUGGCAGUGUGACAGGUGGAACGAAGGAUACGCAAGAAAUGAUAGAUUUCUAUGCUGCUCAUGGAUUCAAUAUGCAACUGAAGCUCUCCAGAGGCUAGUUAAAAAAAAAAAGAUGUGAAAUUCUAGUUUGUAAUCGAUGUUGAAAACUCCCUGAAAUGAGACCAUAAAAGAAAAGAAGAUUUCCCUUCUUGUAAUGUACAUAUUAAUAACUUCAUAGGGAACUGUUGGUAUUGGAAUUCAAAGCACCUACCGGCAGUCGGUAAUUGUUGGGUGAUCAUUCACCUUUGUGUGGAAUUGUAUCUGGGAUUCAUCCGAUGUUUGAUUUGCUUGCUA